CCUACGGGCGGCUGCAGUGGGGAAUAUUGCACAAUGGGCGCAAGCCUGAUGCAGCCAUGCCGCGUGUGUGAAGAAGGCCUUCGGGUUGUAAAGCACUUUCAGCGGGGAGGAAGGCGUUAAGGUUAAUAACCUUGUCGAUUGACGUUACCCGCAGAAGAAGCACCGGCUAACUCCGUGCCAGCAGCCGCGGUAAUACGGAGGGUGCAAGCGUUAAUCGGAAUUACUGGGCGUAAAGCGCACGCAGGCGGUCUGUCAAGUCGGAUGUGAAAUCCCCGGGCUCAACCUGGGAACUGCAUUCGAAACUGGCAGGCUAGAGUCGUGUAGAGGGGGGUAGAAUUCCAGGUGUAGCGGUGAAAUGCGUAGAGAUCUGGAGGAAUACCGGUGGCGAAGGCGGCCCCCUGGACAAAGACUGACGCUCAGGUGCGAAAGCGUGGGGAGCAAACAGGAUUAGAUACCCGAGUAGUC
rnacentral:rRNA from 1 species